CGCAGCGUGGCUCAGUGGAAAGAGCCUGGGCUUCGGAGUCAGAGGUCAUGGGUUCGAUUCCCGGCUCUGUCA
rfam:Ornithorhynchus anatinus chromosome 3, whole genome shotgun sequence.